rnacentral:rRNA from 1 species
GACGAACGCUGGCGGCGUGCUUAACACAUGCAAGUCGAACGGAAAGGCCCUGCUUUUGUGGGGUGCUCGAGUGGCGAACGGGUGAGUAACACGUGAGUAACCUGCCCUUGACUUUGGGAUAACUUCAGGAAACUGGGGCUAAUACCGGAUAGGAGCUCCUGCUGCAUGGUGGGGGUUGGAAAGUUUCGGCGGUGGGGGAUGGACUCGCGGCUUAUCAGCUUGUUGGUGGGGUAGUGGCUUACCAAGGCUUUGACGGGUAGCCGGCCUGGGAGGGUGACCGGCCACAUUGGGACUGAGAUACGGCCCAGACUCCUACGGGAGGCAGCAGUGGGGAAUAUUGCACAAUGGGCGGAAGCCUGAUGCAGAAACGCCGCGUGCGGGAUGACGGCUUUCGGGUUGUAAACCGCUUUCGCCUGUGACGAAGCGUGAGUGACGGUAAUGGGUAAAGAAGCACCGGCUAACUACGUG